AAAUAGAGUGUCAAAGCAGGCAGAUCCCCUUUUCGGUUNACCGAAUACAUUAGCAUGGGNUAAUGGAAUAGNGACCUGUCCUCCUAUUUUCAGUUGGUUUUGGCAGCGCGAGGACUAGGGUAAUGAUUAAUAGGGAUAGUUGGGGGCAUUAAUAUUUAAUUGUCAGAGGUGAAAUUCUUGGAUUUAUGAAAGAUUAACUUCUGCGAAAGCAUCUGCCAAGGAUGUUUUCAUUAAUCAAGAACGAAAGUUAGGGGAUCGAAGACGAUCAGAUACCGUCGUAGUCUUAACCAUAAACGAUGCCGACCAGCGAUUAGGAGACGUUGAAUACAAAACACCACCAUCGGCGCGGUCGUCCCUGGCUCGUCGUCUCACGACGGCGGGCGGGGGCGGUUUAGCCCGAUGGCACCGGUGAAUGACUCCCCUAGCAGCUUGUGAGA
rnacentral:rRNA from 1 species